GAUGAAGAACGCAGCGAAAUGCGAUAAGUAAUGUGAAUUGCAGAAUUCAGUGAAUCAUCGAAUCUUUGAACGCACAUUGCGCCCUCUGGUAUUCCGGGGGGCAUGCCUGUUCGAGCGUCAUUAUAACCACUCAAGCUCUCGCUUGGUAUUGGGGUUCGCGGUUCCGCGGCCCCUAAAAUCAGUGGCGGUGCCUGUCGGCUCUACGCGUAGUAAUACUCCUCGCGAUUGAGUCCGGUAGGUCUACUUGCCAGCAACCCUCAAUUUUUACAGGUUGACCUCGGAUCAGGUAGGGAUACCCGCUGAACUUAAGCAUAUCAAUAAGCGGAGGA
rnacentral:misc_RNA from 1 species